CCGGGAGUGAAGUUGAGCCUGGACAUGCUGCCUGUUGGAAAGUGUGAUGGAAAUUCAUAAUUCCUCUAUCCUGUUUUGUGCCUGGUUCCUCUGAAGAUAAGCAACACUGGCAGAAAAGUUCAGGUACUGGCAAGGCUGCUGUUGGGUGUCCCUGAAACUGUAUGUUCUCCAGGCUGAACAAGUUCAAUUCCCUCAGCUCUCCUCACAGGGUAAUAAGCAAUAAGGAAGCAUUGAAGAUAAUGUUGUUCUGGCUACUGGUAACAAUGGUGAGAGAGCAAGAAUAAAACCAUGCUUUCUUUACAGUGAUGACAAGCAUUUCCGCUUCCUGUUUCCUGUGAGAAAUGUGAUAUGCUCGUUGUAUAAGUAACAAACCAAUGAAUAGGUGAUCGAUAUAAAAAGAGACUUAAUACAUUAUUUAAAAUCAAUGUAUGACAGUAAUUGGAAAUGAUAACUUCUAAAUGGUGGCCAGUAAACACUGAGUUUCUUGCAGGACUGGGGAGAUUCUUGAUAAAUACUUCAGUAAUUAGGGUAAUAAUUUCUUCUGGUGAUUGAUCCCACAGAUAGUGAAGAUGUCAAAAAUCCUUCUGCGCCAUUUGAGUGGCAAGAAGCAUUCCUUUGUCUGUAGGUCGUGCAUGGUACACAGAGGAAAUAUGAAAAUACCUCUGAGGAUUCUGGUUGGGAAACUGCCAAACGGGUGAACAGAAUCUAUACCAAAGACAUUUCUCCCUAGAACAUUCCUUUUGCACUAUCCAUGCCCCUCUCACUCGGCUUGAAGGCUUGGACAGGAGAAUAGUUGUGUAUUUGAAAAAAAAGAUGUUAGCAGGCGGAGAAAAGGAAUACUUUAUCCAUUUUAUCCAUUGGGUUGUGUCAACUGUUCUAAACCUUUAAUGAGUGUCCAGUCUGAACCACUGAAAAAGUGUCUCAGAAGACUGAACUCCAGAGCCAGCCUCUAAAGCAGAAGGUUUGACAACCAAGCCAUUGCUCCCUGUUGCCAAUCUUGGCCUUUCCUUGCAAGCCACCCGCCCUCCCCCACCCCCUCCCCUGCCAUUCUCGGCCUUAUUCAUAUGGAAGGGUGAUGGCAGGAACUGAUAGAACUGGUGGUGACAGACAUGCAAAAUAUGAAGUGCUUAUCAAAACAACAUUUGACACAUUGCCAUGUUAUACAAAACCUUUUGUGGUGAGAACUAGGAUCUAGUUGGAACACUACAUGUUUCUUUCUUUGCAAGGGGUCUGACAGGCCUGGGGAGUAUAUCCGUGGUACUGGAAUGGAGGCAGGUGGCAGCUUGAUUUUGUGAACCCUGUAAGUCAUGAAGCAUCUAUGAGCAAUCAGUACCAGCCAGAAGGUAGUCACAUUAAUAAAUGACACUGAAAAACCUAAAGCUGGGGUGACUCUGAAAUGGCUGGACUGUCAGAGUGUUCCUUAAAUUACAUCUGUAAGUAAAACAGAACUUACAGAUAGGUACAGGCUCAAGAACUCAACUUGUAUUAAUGACAUUGCAAGUAUUUAGGGCUUGUGGGUUUUUUUUCAAAGUUAUGUAAUUCUGUUGAAUAUAAAUUGCUGAAAAAAUAUCUACUCCUCCCUCAGUCCCUGUUUCUGAUCACAUCAAUUCUAAUACAUAGUGACUAUGUUCUGGAGAUACAAAAGCAUUCAGGAGAAAUUUCUGUGGGAUAUUGUGGGCUAUUUUCUUCAAUCACCAGUUCCAUGCUUUUCAGUGUUUAGAAAGAUAAAUAAGACAUUUGGAGAGAAAAUAAAAAAAAACAGAAACAUUAUAUUUGUAUGCAGAUUCACAUUGACCUAGAUUUUAAAUACUAUACGCAGACACACAAGGAUAUAAUAGAAUUAAAAAAAAAUUAAAAAAUAGUUUAUAAGGAGUGGAAUAGCUUUUGUAGAAGGAAAUGCUGAGUAGGCAAAGACUGUCAGUAUUAAAAAAGACAACAGACAGAGGUAUGAUACAAGUCAAUGAAUGAGAGAGAGAAUAUAGAAUGGCUGUUCACACUUCACUGAGCCUGAAAACACAGGGGUACCCAAUGAAGUGUGUGGACAGCUUGUUUGAAACAAACAAAGUACUGUGUCACACAGUAUGUAAUUAGAUUGUGGAAUACAUUUCCUCAGGGUAUUAUACAGAGAAAAACAAGAAGUAGCUUCAUGGGGAAAAGGAGUAUAAAUGGUAGUUGAACAAUAUGACUUGCAAGCAACCUUGUCUCAGGAAAUGCCUUUAUCAGUGAUUUCUGUAAACUGCAAGGAUGGACAGGAGGAACAAUCACUCUAAACUUGUGCUAUUUACUGUCAGGUAACGUGACUUCAGGCUCUUCUCCAUGAACACAGAAGAGCAGAGAGGCACAACACCAGGUGUGGGAACCCCAAUAACCUACUCAGAGAAAGGAGCCCCUGCCCCAACCCCUCUCCAGGCUGUCGCAGGGGACCCUCAGCCCCCUGGGCCAGAGGUGACCCCCAUCCAUGAGUCUGUGUGAGAGGCUCCCCAGGUCUCCUUUCAAACUGAGGGGGUUUAGCCCAGGGGUAUGGGAGUCAUUCUGGGAUGCAGGGAAUGACCAUUUUGGGAUUGUACAAAAUUUCUUAUGGGAUGUUUAUGGCAGGGGGAAAAAGGUGGGGAAAGGGAGAGUUCAGGGUGAUUUGGAAGGGAACGAGUGUGGAACACUAGAGGAAAAGUGGAUAAAAGCCAUCUAUAAGCUGGCAUUUGGUCAGUACACUUGUCUGGCCAUGUCCUGCACCUGGUCAGUGUAGUCUGUCCCAUCUCAUUAAAUUCCAUUUCUGACUCUUUUUGUGGUGAGAGGCUCUGUUCUCUGUUCCACAUAUGUGUAUGGAGGUCUAAGUGCAGCUGCUGGAGUGGGGACCACGGGUCCUUGGGGCCCAUGCAUCUGGGGUGCCAGCAGCUGGAAUAAGGGCUUAUGCCAGCAUGUGAUCACUAGUGAAUAUCAAGCCAAACUAGUCGGUUAAGUAGGUGAAGUGGUUUGGGAGCCAGGUGUGCGUUUGUUUCUGUGAGUGUGAUCACUGGAUGAGUUGGACUGAAGGAAUUGGGGGAUCCAGGCCAAGUGCUGAAGAGAGCAUGGGGUCUGGAGGUCAAGAGGGAGACCUCUUUGUAUGUGUGCCUGUGUAUGUGUGUGAAGGAUUCAUGUGUGUGUCCGAGUGAGGGGUCGGACCAGCAGCUGGAGUGGGGCUGCAGCCUCGGCAGCUCAUGUGUCCAGGUACCAGCAGUGGGAGGUACCAAGGAUCCAAGGGCCAGACGCUGGGCAGUCCAGGUGCCUAAGCCCAGCUGCUGGAGGGAUCUGCGUUGUAAAUUUGUAUAUAUUUCCCACUUAAUGGACCUUCAUCCUGAUCAGCCAGAGAGGGACACUGGAUGAGGCCAUUGUGCUAUUUGUGUUUGCAUGAGUUGUCUGUGUUUCUGUCUGUACUGAUCUAUGCAGCCGGCUGUGCAUAUAGGUGUGUGUAAGUGUGUUGUGUGUGUGUUUGUGUAUGUGCCCAUUGGGAAUACAUGCUCAGCCUCAUUAUUAGUUGGACCUGGGGCAUGGAGCUGUGGCAGUCUCACCUCUUUUGGACUAUCAGGUUUGACCACUACCUAAUAUUUACUACCACUAGUUGCUACCAGAACACAUCGAGUAAGAUGCUUUUGUUCUGGACUCAGUACAGCAACUCUGUACAAUUAAGGAUGCAUUAUAAAAUUUCAACAGUUGUGCCUAGCAAAAAAAUAAUUAAAAAUAAUGUAAUAAAUUCCUUCUAAAUUCCCUUUACUUCAUAUUUUCCUUAUCUGAUUCUCUACUUUAUCCUCCCUACAUGAAGUCAUCUGUUGUCUUUGAAUCAACUAGCCUUACCGUUACACAUUCUUGUAUAACAUUUUAGCUUUACUGCUUUUCUAUUCUUUGAAUUCACCUGAGGGAAAAAAAAUCAUCAUAAAUUUAAUAGUUCUUCUAUUGAACAAUGAAAGAAAAAAAUCAAGACAGAAUCCAACAAACAAAAUGAAAACUAGUACAAAUCGUGGCUGAACACUUACUUGAUCCCUAGCCAAGGUGAUGUGAAGUGUG